GCAGCAUCGACGGCGCCUCCGGCAUCCUAGGGAUCAGCCCGGACAAGUUAUCCUUGGUGUCGCAGCUACAGAUACCGAGGUUCUCCUACUGCCUCACUCCUUUCCUCGACCGCGAUACAAGCCACAUGUUCUUCGGGGCAAUGGCCGACCUGUCCAAGUACAGGACCACAGGGCCUAUCCAGACAACUUACUUAGUGAGGGACCCGAGUGGCAGAAACUACUACUAUUACGUGCCCUUGAUCGGCAUCUCUGUUGGGACGAAGCGACUCAACGUGACGGCGUCGAGCUUCGCCAUCGGGCUCGAUGGCGGUGGCGGCACCUUUGUCGACUCAGGAGACACGACCGGCAUGCUUCCGUCGGUGGCGAUGGAGGCCCUUAAGGAGGCUCUGGCGGAGGCCGUGAAGCUACCAGUUCUGAAUGGCACGGACCUUGGCUACGAGCUCUGCUUCCAGCUGCCGAAAGGCAUGACUGUGGAGGCGGUGCAAGCGCCGCCGCUGGUGUACCACUUCGACGGUGGUGCCGCCAUGGUGCUUCCGCGAGAGAACUUCUUCGUCGAGGCGAGCCCGGGGGAGAUGUGCCUAGUCAUCAGCUCGGGUGGUGCCCGAGGGGCUAUCAUCGGCAACUACCAGCAACAGAAUAUGCACGUCCUCUUCGACGUGCAGAACCACAAGUUCUCCUUUUCGCCCACACAAUGUGAUCAGAUUUGAGCCGUGAAAUAUGAACCCCCACUUUGGAGUGGAGUUGAAUAGUGCAGAAAUAGCAGACAAAAUCAAGCUAUUAGAGAUGGCUCGUGCAUUCCGAAGUCGAAGCCAGUGCAAAGGUCAUAGUAGAAUAAGUAGCAUCUCUUGCAGAUGGCGUGUACUUGUCAUCCUUAAGGGAUGCAAGUUAAAAAACUAAUCCGACUUUUAGAGCAAGAGUCUCCCAAAAAAUUCUUCCCAAAACUAUAUAUUAGAAGCUCUACUAAAAAUUUCUUUCCCCAAAAUCAUAUCAUCCCACAGCGAUCCCCAAUCACUACUACAGAACUGACUUUAGAUCCCACCCCCUUUAGUCUCGGUUUAAUUUCGGCCAGGGAGAAAAGUGGAUGCGCCACGGUAGGCUGGAAUGGGGCGCACACUCUCGGUUCUUUUUUUUGCAACCGGGACUACAGGCCACCCUUUAGUCUCAGUUAAAACGGCUAGUUUCCGGGCACCAACGGCGCCACCCUUUACCCCCGGUUGGAGCCACCAACCGGGACAAAAGAUCCAACCUUUUGUCCCGGUUGGAGUUACCAACAAGGAUAAAGUGUUUACUCCUGGUUGGUAACACCAACCGGGACAAAAUCUUAUCUACACGAGCUCUUUCUUCCUCCUCCACUUCUCCAGCCCGAGCCACUCCACUCCACAAAGACAGAGAAGCUCAUCCUCUCCAUGGCGCCGAAGCAAGCCUAGGGGAGGUGCUGCUAAAUUUUUUUUCCUCAUUUCCAUGGGGAUUUCACGCAUCCAAAGUGUUGUGAAGGUUAGCUACUUCAUACUCCGUUCAUUUAUUGUUGUUAAGCUUUGUUUUAUACUUUAGAGAGGGAGAAAAGUGAGUUUGUUUGUUGUUAAGCAUGUAGAGGAUUUGUAUUUAUACAUGUUGUUGACGUUAGAUUUUGACACGUAUGGGAUCGGCAUCAAGGGAGGAAAAGAUUGGCUAAUGCGGUGGAUUAAAAGGUUACGAUUGGGAAUCGGCCUAUUGGUGCUACAGUUGAGAAUCGGGCGAUUGGUGCUACAGUGUUUUGACGGAUGAAGUUGGUGGAGAUCGACCGAUUGGAAGGCUGGAGCUAUUGGGCCAAUAUGGGCUUAAAGUGGGUUAGAGAAAGAAGAUAGAGGAAGUUUGGCCCGUGGGAGUAUAAUAACCAACUCCGAUACGAGUUGUGUUUGUAAAUAUUUAUUUUCGUUUAAAAUUAGAGAUAGAUACUAGUCGGUUAGGGAAACAGUUGUAACAGGCUAUAAAUAGCCAUCUUUAGAGAUUUGUAAACAACACAUCAAUCAAUACAAACAAUCUACUUUUUCAUCGUACUUUACUUUCAAGUCGGCGACUUCGCCAAUACAUCUUUUUCUUUCACGAGUUUGUACGGGUUGGCAGGACUGCAUCGACACGAUCUCCAGCCAAUUCUGUAAGUUCCGUCUAUCGAGUAAUAUCUAAGCUUUAACUUCGGGCGCAUCGCUGUCGUUUCGUUUAGAUUUAUUCACCAGUUAUCGAUAUUUACUAGAAUCAUAGGUUUUGUCUAUUGUUCUAGUUUUAUCACCAGUUAUCCAGCUUGAGAUUUGAAUUGUCGGCUUUAUUGUCAUUAUUCUUGUUUAUCAUUAUACAGCCAAUUAGAUCUAUUUCAAGUGUAACUUCGUAGCGUUGUUUAGUCUGCUCUAGUAGUUUCUUUACAAUCAUUGCGUGAUUAUCGUCUGUUCUAUAGCCGAUCAUCUUCAUAGGAAAUCGGCCGAUUCGCUGAUACGCUUUUCGAGACAGACCGGAAUUUUAGCCGAUUGAAACCCCUGGAAUUUAACACGUUUCUUUCCUUAUCAAUCAACAGGUCAGAUUGACUGGCACGCCGUGCAAACCGCUCCUGGACGAUCACCCAAACAGGAGCUAAGUAGAUUCUCCCAGAUCGUGUGUCUGACGCUGAAGGCCAUCGGCCGAUUUCUAGCGCCAACACACUUUUAGCACGCCCAGUGGAACCACCUCAACAUCUAACAUGUCAAAGACUGCCAAAAUCUCCGAAGACAAUGUCAUCGAGGUUACAGAGGCAGAUCUCAAGGACGAUCAGAAAGAAGAAUAGGCAAGACACCUAGAAGACUACAAGAAGGUAUACCUGCAAUCUUUCAGUCGUACCAGAAGCGGGGAGGCCAUCAAGAAAGCUCCUCUUCCAACCCCCCGCCAGAUCACCAUCGCUGAGGACUUGGGCAAGAUGUCCAACAUGAUUCAACAAUCCGUUUACCAGGCUUUCAUCGACCAAUCCUCAGUGAUGACCGACACGGUAUACAAUGCCGUCAUCAGUUCCCUGGUCAGCGGAGUAGCUCAAGGAUAUCAGGGGCCAGCGUACGCCUCGUCUAUUGUAACUCCAGUCAGAAGCUUACCAGGCACAUCUCACUCGGCUCCUCAGCCGAUACCGACACAACAUGGAGGAUACAACACCUCAAUGCCACCAAGAUACAAUGGCGCGUCAUGCUUUCAAACGCAAGGGCUGUCUCAGCCUACUCAGCUUUCCUCUGUGCAAACUCUGCCCUCGAACUCAGUGCCUUGGGGGGCACCAGCAGCGGCAACUAUUCUAGACCAGUCGGCCGGUUAUGGAGGCUCUCCGAUCCAAGCACCGUUCCAAUCGGCUAUCCGGCUGACGGUCCCACAGUAUCAACCGGCCACGUCAGAAGUCGGCAGGGGGGCAGAUGCUGCAAAAGCACUCAGAAGUGCGGCACCGAUGAUGCUGUACGAUGGGACGGCAGAUUUGCUACGCCACCAACAGUCAACUGCUCAGCCGGCCACGUUGCCACAAAAUCCGCCGCACGCUUUGAUCCAUCACCCAGCCAUCCCACCGCAGAUCCAUCAACAUGUGCCGAUCCCUCAACCAGUCGUUCAUCAGCAGCAAGUGGAUUGGACAGCAAGGAUAGCAGAGGUGAUUCAAGAUCAAUUUGGGUUGAAGCCGAAAGAACAGACCUAUAUGUAUAAAACGCCGUACCCACCUGCCUAUGACUUUUUGCCAUUUCCCUAUCGGUAUAAAGUUCCCGACUUCACCAAGUUUUCAGGAUUGGAUGACACUUCAACUGUGGAACACGUCAACAGAUUAAUCAUCCAGUGCGGAGAGGCUGCCACACAAGAUGCUCUGCGGGUGCGUCUGUUCUCUUCGUCACUAUCCGGGUCAGCUUUCCAGUGGUUCACUACACUACCGCCCAAUUCCAUCAUUACUUGGGCCGACCUAGAAAAGUAGUUCCACAAAUAUUUCUACGCGGGAGUCCACGAGAUGAAUUUCUCAGAUUUGACCAGCCUCAGGCAGAGGAGCGAUGAGCCAGUGACCAAUUAUGUGCAAAGGUUCAGAGAGGUCAGAAACAAAUGCUACACCCCAGUCCUAACCGACGCGCAGCUGGCCGAUAUCACCUUCCAAGGUCUCCUGCCACAUAUCAAAGAGAAGUACGCUUCCCAGGAGUUCGAGAGCUUAAGUCAAAUCAUUCAUUGAUUAGCCGGUCAAGAAGUACGCCCUUUUGAUCAGCGGAGAAAUUUUUAGAAAAAGGUGGCAUUACUUGGAGGGAUCUGAAUCUAAAGAGAAAGCGGAAAUCGGCCUAGCAGAAUGGGUCAAAGGGAAGAAGCCUAUAUCAUGUCCUUUCGGGAAGAAAGAGCCAGAAGCGUUCGGUUUUGACACGUCCAAGGCCGACAAAAUUUUCGACUUGCUUCUCCAAGAGGGGCAGAUCAAGCUCUCACCUUACCAUACCAUUCCAUCGGCCGAGCAACUCAAAAAGAUGAAAUACUGCAUGUGGCACAACGCCACAUCUGACGACACGAACAAGUGCAAAAUCUUCCGUCAGCAGAUACAGUCAGCCAUUGAGCAAGGCAGACUCAAAUUCGAAGUCCCGGCGAAGCCAGUAAAGCCGAUGAAGAUCGAUCAGCAUCCUUUCCCCACUAACAUGGCUGACACGGGAAGGAACGCACUUCAAACCAAAGUGCUGACGUCGGAAUCGGCCAAGAAAUGUGGCGCUGUGGACCCCAGAAAUCAGGCUACGGUUGAAGAUGUCAAAGGGAAGAGACGGGUCAAAGACGAGGGUGAAGGAUUGGAGAGACCGCGUAGACCUAUCACCUCCCAAUUCUUGCUCAACAAAUAUCAGCGGCAGCAGGAAAGUUUGAGGCACCGUGAAGAGAUGACACGCCGACACGAAGAUCAUUGGCGAUGCCCGUUCUUCAUCCACUGCUGGGAAAAUAACAUCAGAUUACCGUCAGCCGAUAAUUGCCAUGAGUGCAGCGGUCCAUAUCUUGACAAUCGCCCAUUCAAGAGGUCACGCUCCAGAGACAAACCGCCAGCCAAACCAGUGAACCCCAGGUGGUGCCCCGAUGGAUUGACCAAAUCUCAAAAAUGAAGAAUCCACCGUCUGCGCCAAUGGGAACAACAAGAAGUAGAGCAGAGGUGGAUGGUGGAUAAGAAAUAUGACAGGUCUUGAGUCUAGCGCCCCAAAAGAAACAACAAUAAGGAAGGCGACAACUAGGAAUCGGCAGCUGACGUCAGCAUGGUCUUCAUCUUGCCGUUGGAGUUCAUGGCUCCCGCCGAUCGGGAUGACACGACAAAGAUGGAGGAGCAGAUGGCGCAAUUGGCUUUGGAGCCAAUGACAGCCACUUUUGAGAAACCAGAAGAUGCAAAACGACAACAUCUCAAGACUCUGUUCCUCAAGGGACAUGUCAAUGUUCGACCUUUUACCAGGCUACUGGUAGAUGGAGGUGCUGCAGUCAACAUCAUGCCGUAUGCAUGUUCCGGAAACUGGGCAAAAGCGAUGAAGAUCUGACCAAGACGGACAUGAUGCUCAAAGACUUCGAAGGCAACGUGUCUCCCGCCCGUGGGGCACUCUGCAUCGACCUCACCAUCGGCAAUAAGACCAUUCCCACUACUUUAUUUAUUCUUAAUAGCAAAGGGUCCUACAAUAUGUUGCUCGGUCGUGAUUGGAUACACACGAAUUGCUGCGUCCCGUCUACAAUGCACCAAUGCCUCGUACAAUGGGUCGGCGACAACAUCGAGAUAGUCACCGCCGAUUCUGCCUACAAUGUUGCGGCGGCCGACGCACAACAGUGGAGCAGCGAAUACAUCAAGUGCAUAUCCGGUAGAACUUGGGACACCGAUUUCCUGAAAGUGACCGAUUUUGGCCUACAGCCGAUCCGAGCAGUCGGCCCUGAAGAUUCAGAUUAGAUGGAUCAGUUCGUCCGAGAAGACGGGAAGCUUAAGCAUGGGUUUACGUCGGCCGAUUCAUCGGAGAUGGUGGAUUUAGGAGAUAGUAGCAAGCCAAGGCUGACGUACAUUAGUGCUAGCUUGGAUCCCGAGUAAAAAUGUAAAUUGACAAGUUUAUUAAAAGAAUUUAAAAAUUGUUUUGCUUGGGAAUACCAUGAGAUGCGUGGUCUAGACCGGUCCAUUAUCGAACACCGGUUGCCUAUAAAACCAGGAUAUCGGCCGUAUCCGCAGCCUGCACGACGAUGCAACCCUAAAAUUCUACCUGAUAUAAAGGCCGAGAUUACAAGAUUGAUUGAAGCGAAAUUUAUUCGGCAGUGCCGUUACACCGAGUGGAUCUCUAAUAUUGUACCCAUAUACAAGAAAAAUGGAAAGCUGCGCGUGUGCAUUGACUUCAGGAACCUUAAUCAGGCUACGCUGAUGGUUGUCUAUCCAAUGCCGACAGCCGAUGUUUUGAUAGAUGCCACUGCAGGACAUAAAGUCAUCAGUUUCAUGGACGGUAAUGCUGGGUACAAUCAAAUAUUAAUGGCCGAAGAAGAUAUUUUGAACACGGCUUUCAGGUGCCCGGGCCACCUCGGUUUAUUCGAGUGGGUAGUAAUUACCUUUGGAUUAAAAAACACCGGCACCACGUAUCAACGAGCUAUGAAUUAUAUUUUUCACAAGCUUAUUGGUGCGUUGGUGGAAAUCUACAUCGAUGACGUUGUAGUUAAGUCAAAAGGACAUCAGGAACAUCUGGCCGAUUUGCGAGAAGUGGUGGAGUGCACGAGGAAGCAUGGUUUGAAAAUGAACCCGAACAAGUAUGCAUUCGGUGUGUCGGCCGGACAAUUCCUAGGAUUCAUGGUCCAUGAGCACGGGAUAGAAGUCAACCGGAAGAUCAUAGCUGCCAUCCAUAAGGUUGUAGCCCCACAGAAUAAAACUGAGCUGCAGUCCCUAAUUGGCAAAGUCAACUUCAUCAGAAGAUUUAUAUCCAAUUUGUCCGGGCGUAUUCAAGCUUUCACUCCUUUGUUGAAGCUGAAAUCCGAUCAGGAAUUCGUGUGGGGAGAAGAACAGCAAAAAGCGUUGGAAGACAUCAAGCAAUAUCUGGUUUCGCCACCUGUAUUAGUCCCACCACAGGCUGAUAAGCCCUCCAGACUAUACUUAUUGGCCGAUGAACGGGCUAUCGGAUCGGUGCUGGUACAGGAGUUCGACGGAAAAAAAACGGGUAAUAUAUUAUGUCAGCAGAAGACUCCUGGAUGCCGAGACAAGGUAUUCCGCGGUAGAGCGGCUGUGCCUGUGUCUGUAUUUCUCAUGUACCAAACUCAAGCACUACUUGUUGUCGGCAGAAUGCAUAGGCGUGUGCAAAGACGACGUAGUAAAGUACAUGCUAUCAUUGCCAAUUUUGAAAGGACGGAUUGGAAAGUGGAUCCUGGCUCUGUCAGAGUUUGACCUAAGGUACAAAUUGGCCAAAGCUGUUAAAGAAAAAAGUCAUGGCCGAUUUCGUAGCUCAGCAUUGUGGACCGGAAGUUGCUGUCGUUGAACCAGUUCCAUGGACUCUAUACUUCGAUGGCUCUUCGUGUGGGGCCGGUCAGGAAUCGGCAUCGUUCUCAUAUCGCCUCAGGGGGCAAGUUAUGAUUUCUCUCUGCCGAUAGAAGCAUCCGCAACCAAUAAUCAGGCGGAAUACUUAGCUGUCCUGAAGGGUAUCCAAUUGUUGAGAGAAAUCAAAGCCGAUGCUGUGGAAAUUUUUGGGGAUUCCAUGCUCAUCGUAGAUCAAUUAACGAGGAGAUCUGAAUGCAAGGAUGACGUAUUGAGGAUUUACUACGAAGAUUGCCUCCAACCUUUAAAAGAAUUCAAGUCCGCGGUUAUUGAGCAUAUUCCCAGAAAUUACAAUGAAGAGGCCAAUAGGCUUGCCCAGCACGCGUUCGGAUAUCGGCCGAUUCAAGGCGCCAUGACUCUGGAACUCGCGGCCGACGAUUGGCGAAAGGAGAUCGCCGAUUACUUGAAGGAUCCAUCCAGGAAAGUAGAUCGGCGAGUGCGUUUUCAAGCCACAAAAUAUGUGCUACUCAAAGAUGAUUUGUUUAAUCGAACGAUUGAUGGAGUUCUGCUCAAAUGCCUAGGAACGGAAGAAGCGAAAGUCCUGAUGGGAGAAAUUCACGAAGGCAUGUGUGGAGCUCACCAAUCGGAUCACAAAAUGAAGUGGAUGAUUAGAAAUAACGGGUAUUAUUGGCCGAUGAUACUCGAAGACUGCUUUAAAUAUUAUAAAGGGUGUCAAGAUUGUCAGAAGUUUGGCAACGUGCAGCGUGCACCAGCCUCGGCUAUGAACCCGAUAAUCAAGCCAUGGCCGUUCAGAGGUUGGGGAAUAAACCUCAUCGAACAGAUUUAUCCUCCAUCAAGCAAGGGACACAGUUCAUAUUAGUAGCCACUGAUUAUUUUACCAAGUGGGUGGAGGCAGUCUCAUUGAAGGCCGUGACAUCGGCCGCUCUGGUCGAUUUUGUAAGGGACCACAUUGUUUAUCAUUUCAGUAUCCAUCAAACCAUCACAACUGAUCAAGGGACGAUGUUCACUUCAGGAGAGUUCGAGGAGUGCACCGCCGAUAUGGGAAUUAAGUUGUUGAAUUCUUCUCCGUAUUAUGCUCAAGCUAACGGUCAAGCCGAGUCGUCCAAUAAGGGGAUAAUCAAGUUGAUCAAGAGGAAGAUAGAAGAACAACCUAAGAAGUGGCACCUAUGUUUGACUGAGUCUUUAUGGGCUUACAGGAUGGCCUGCCACGGGGCCACUAAAAUAUCUGCUUAUCAAUUGGUAUAUGGUCACGAGGCAGUAUUGCCUUGGGAAUUAAGGACGGGGUCAAGACGCAUAUCGCUCCAAGAUCAGUUUACGGUCGAUGACUAUUCCCUCCUCAUGAAGGGAGAGCUCGACAAUUUGGCAGGUUAGCAAUUAAGGGCCCUGAUCAGCAUUGAAGAAAACAAGAAAAGGGUGGCCAGGUGGUACGAUAAGAAGGUCAAGGUCAAACAAUUCUCUCAAGGAGAUUUGGUAUGGAAGUUGGUGCUGCCGAUUGGGUCUAAAGAUCCUAAGUUCGGUAAAUAGUCGCCCACUUGGGAAGGGCCGUAUAGAAUCGGCCGAUGCGCUCCGAGAAAUGCGUAUAUACUAGAAACUAUCGAAGGAGAGGAAUUCACGAGAGCCUUGAACGGAAGAUAUCUGAAAAGAUACUAUCCUAGUAUAUGGGUGAAUGCGUAAUUGACGGUAGGGUGCAUCAAGAUGACAUGGACAACUCCUAUUGGCUCUUGUUGGUAUAGCCGAUGUAAAGAUAACAUCGCCUUAAGGACGAAACAUUCAACCAAUUCGGCCGAUUUAUUAUUCGGUACAAACGACAAAGUACAUGGCCGACAUGGUACAAGUCGCCCUUAGAACAAAAAGUACCAACACACCUAUGGACCACGUUUUUUCUUAAUCUCCCUCUCGAUCCGACCUAAUUCUAUCAAAAGGUGGAUGCUCUUUUUCUCUAGAUCCUCCAUGGUGGCUUCAACCUCGACUUGACGAGGAAGUCGGUGGCUCCUGUCAAGAGGAGGUUGGGAGGUCCCCACUGCGGCAUCCUCGAGGGCGACUGGGCGAGAGAGUGGGUGACUCCUUUCAGUAGGCGGCCGCCUAGAGCAGUUGGCAUCCAUAUGGUCUAGGAUCUUCUGAACGUCAGUGGGGAUGUGAUCUUUGAGUUCUUCGUGAUGAGCCCUGAUCAGAUCUUUGUCCGCCUGCGACAACGGUUCGUCGGAAUGCAUGACUUCGACCGCUCGUUCCAGUUCAGGACUAAGGCGUCUCGGCUGGAAAUCAACAAGCAACCAUUCAUCGUCAGACCGGUUGAAAUUUUAGGCGGAGGAACGAAGGAGGGUUUCGUACCUGAUUGACGGAGAAGGAAGAAGAGGAAGAAGACAUCUCCGCACCUAGUCUGAGGAUAUAGAAAUCAAACUACUAGAGGAAAAGAGGAUGGGUGAUGUGAAUGUCUUCGGAAAUGAUACGGGGCCUCAUAUUUAUAGAAGGAAAAGGGCGAAGGGUUGGUAAGACGCGUCCCAUCAGAGUAAAAGGGGCAAUAAAUGAAAAGCUGCUGCAAAGGAUGGUUCAGGUUUGAAUCCACACGCCAACGGCAGAAGGACAUUAAUGUUUUUACAGAACAUUCAGUGCUUUUACAAUUUACCCGAGAAGGGCAUUAAUGGCCGCAAUCACUCGCUGCCUAACCUGAUCGGCCGAGUCAAGAGUUCGCUGGUCGUCGUCGGCCGAUCCAGGGACUUCUAGCAUAUGGCGAUGGAGCUUGAUUGCUUCAUGGGCCAGGUUUUGUCUCUCUUGCUUGAACUCUUCGUCGUCAAAAAGUGCAACCGCGAAGGAAAAGAGACUAUUGUUGUGAGUAUCCUGCUCCUGCGAAAGAAUAAAAAUAACAAUACAAAUUAGCCGACGAUGAUGGGAAAUCGGCCGAUUUGGGUGACAGGUCUCUUACCUCUUUGAAGCGGAUUUCUUCUGCUUGCGCUGGCGGGAGUGCUACCCUCGGCUCGGGAACUGGCGCGACCGGUUCAUCAGAGGAGGAAGAUUCGACGAUUAUUGGUGCCCUGCUCGGGCCGGCCUCCUGGAAAGGUACGAGAAGCGGGUUUUUAUAAGCAUGUAGAUGGACAAAUAAGGGUUAUGUUAACAGAUAUAUUAUGAAAAUACUUUCAUCAUAUAUAAUUGUUUCAAUGUAUACUGAUAUAUUUCUGUGAUGUUUCUAGUCCGAGUGUUAUUGGAAUGUAUGUCAAUGUCCUCAUAGAUAUAAGGGAUCAGAGGAUUUAUUCAAUAAGUUAAAUCAUGAGACAACAAAAGGAGUAGUAUAUUGUCUUGUCGACACCAAGACCCUAUUUGUUUGAGCUUUCUCCCAGCCAAAAGCCCAAACAAAAACUUAUGCCAACUUCUCCACUAGGAUUUUUUUAAAGCUACCCCUCCCCCGUAAAUUAGAAGCAACAAGAAGGUGGAAAUGUGGAGGCCUUUUGAGAUGUAGAAAUGACUGUAGGUAUGGCUAUUGAUUGUAUUUGAAUAAACAAAAGCCUAUACAAUAUAGAUUUGAUUCAACCAGUUGAAUGAAAUCACCAUGCAGAAUCAAGCACCAAAAUUCAUCUAGACUACAAAAAAGGAUAUUGAAUGACAUCAAAGACUAAUUGGGCAGAACCACCAAGUGUUCACAGCUUCUCGAUUAUCGGUUUCACACGGACUGAUUGCAAGGGAAUAAACAUCUGAGGAGGAAGUCGUUGCUCCUUCAAAUACUGCAGCAUAGAAUAAAUAUAAUGAAUGUCUGCUCAUUCAGAUGCACCUGUGGAAACUAAAUGAAAGAAACAAAAACCAAAAAAAAACUGGAAGUUACUCUUUUGAGAAAUUUUAGAGUGCUUGAAAAAAAUGAAAAAUGAGAGCCGUCCAUCCGGCGAAAUCGAGCGGUGGAAACAAGGAAGUACCAUAAAGUACCUAAAGAGAAGUACCAAGAAGUACCAAUUUAGUGGGAUCAGGUACCAAAAGUAGUGAGAAAUUACUAUGAUGCUCUUUUAAUUAUGUGUAAGUCUAUUUAAUUCAUUUUUGGUAAGAAGGAUAAGAAAUGAAAGUACCUGCAAGUACCACUAGUACUUUAAAAGCAUUGUAACUUUUUUAGCUAUUUCUCUAUUAAUAUUCUCUGUGUAUGUGUGUCUGUGUGUGUGGGAGCUGGGAGGGGGUUGCAGCUAUAGUGGCGCUACAACAAGGAUAAAUGGUGUCUCGUAUUGAGAAAGCACCUAAUACAUGUAAGUCGGCUCUACAAAAAUGUGACUCUAUUUACAAUGUUGUAAGCUUUUCUAUACCUUAUCUCAUUCUAGUUCAUGAGCAUUAACUACGUCGCUGGCUCUCCAAGACCUAAUGUGUGGCCAUAAAUAUCACAAACAAUACUAAAAUGUGUCCAGUUACCUCUAGAAAAUGUUUGAACUGUUUAGGAUAUCUACUCCAGACUCAUUCUUUUAAAAUGUAUCAGACCUCCUCUAAUCUUCUUGGAAGUGAAUUGCAUCAGUCCGAUAUGGGGAUGUGUGAUAAUGGGAUCAAUCAGUCAGAGGGUUAUUUCCAAACCGCAACCCUCGUAUUUCUUUUAAAAGGUUCUAGUAAUUAAAUAAUGUGACUUUAAGGUUUAGAGGAUAAGAUUGUCAGGAAUUGACCAAGAAAGAACGGAUUCUUCAGAAGGAAAGACCUGACAAAGAUUUGGAAGGAUCAUACUGCCAUAGUACAAUAUGCCUUCUUAGUGAAAAUUGAAAAUACAGAGGAAUUCGCUGACAAGUUCUCAUGGAAGAGCACCUUAAUGCAUUCCUUUCCUGUGUUUUCAUCUUCCACUACGACUGCAUCCAUAAAUUUCCCCAUGGCAACAGUAACAGCAACAUUAUAUUUCUUCUGUGAGGGCCUGCAAAGAUUAGUCAUACGACCAUGGACUCCAGGAAGUAGAUGCUUUAGAUUUCUAACAGUUUCUGAUAAUCGAGCAUCACGUUCACUUUCAUGCUUGUCAGCUUUAAGCUCAUGUAGUUGUACAUCCAUGUCAUCCACCAUCUGCUUCAAUUUUUGAUACCUAGAUCUGAACAGAAUUUGUUAAAUAAUAUAUAACGAAUUAAAAAUGAUAUUUCUAUUGGAAAGGAAAAAAAUUGUGCUAGAAGACUUAAAGAACCACCCAAAUCAAAGGACAUGGUAAAGACUUACGCUGAAUAUUGACAUUCCGCCACAAAUUUGGUUAAGUUCCUCAUGUAAGCGUUCGACGUCAUCUUCAUCCUUGGUGAUUGAAUGAAGAAUAUUGGUAAGUUUUGUGUGCAGUUCACUCUCUUGUGAUAAUAUCUCAUUAUUAUGGCUACACAAUUGGUCUAUAUUCUCUUUUAAGUUAUUUUUUGCUUCAACAUCAGCUUUUAGUUUUUUUUCUAUCACAUCCUUCUGGUCUCUUAUCUUUGCUGUCACCAUUCCUGCAUCAUCUUUGCUGUAAUGAAAGUAAAAUGCAGUCAGAACCUCGGAUAGGCUGAACAUAGUAGAGGGAAGGAAAAACUCCUUACUCCCCUCAAGUAUAGCCAAAGUCCGUAUAAUCACCCCCAAAAAAAACUAUUUCUUGGUUCAGAUUAACCUCUAAACUAUAUUAUUUGGUUCAAUUUAUCUUUUUCUCCAUGCACGUGUUGAGCCUUAAGUUAAAAUUUUGCAAGAUGAUAGCAGACAUCAUAACACAUGUUAGGCAAAUACAUCAUGAAUUUGCUAUUAUUAUUUUGAUAGGGUAGGAUAUUUAAUAAUAAAUUAAUCCUUGGUAUACAAAAUUAUACAAAAAAUCAUGAUAAAAUCAUAAUAUAUAUUUUUAUGAAAUAUAUUGUGCUGUCCACUAACACCCUGCAAAAUUUUAAAUUAAAAUUCAACUUGUGUAUUGAGAAACAAAAAAGACAAAUUGUAUUGGGUAAAUUGAACCAAAAAAUAGUUUAGGGGUUAUUAGCACUUUGGCUAUACUUAAGGGGAUAAUUUGGAAUUUUUUCUAGAGGAAACAAUUGAAGAAACUCUAUAUAUAAUAAAUUUAAAUUAUGCUUUUUAGUCCCAAAUUGGCAAAAUAAACUUAUUCAGAAAAGGUAUGGAAUAAAGGCCCAUUAAUAUUUUCUAUGCUUAACAAAAAUGGGAAUUUCAUUUCAGCAUGACACAGUAAAACCAAAAUCAUAUCAGUAAAACGGUCGCACCCAGCUACGCACCAUAGGGCACGCUCCUCCUGUACAGCCCUUACGACCAAUAGAAGCUCCAUUAAAAUUUUAAAAAUGCAAUCCUGACCGUGCUUCCAUAGCUCCCAGCAUGCCACUAAUAUUAUCAGAGUUCUUAUGUUGCUUGUCCACUUCUUUGAUUGUUAGACCCCACAAGCCUGAGAAAGUGGUUUGCCCUUGGUCAAGAACCAAAUCUUUUAAGCCUGGCUUCUGAACUCAUUUUUCCAGUUACACAUAUGAAGGUUAGGCUUUUUACAUGAGUUGAAAUUGAGGUGUCAAUGUGUCAUGGUGACAUUGGGGGAGGAGUGGGGAUGCGCAUCACCUAUUUCUAUAUAUUUGGCAUUUCAUUAGGUGUGGGAAAGCAUUAAUAUUUGUUUCAUGUCACUAAAUUUCGAUAAGAAACAUUGUUGUGCAUUCCGUGCAAAUAGUGCAUUCUGCAUCUAAGAAGAUCGAGGCCCUAUUUGUUUUAUUAUGCACAUUGCUAAAAUUUGCAAGCAGGGGGAGCAGAGUUACAAUCCGGUUUAAAUAUAGGUAGGACCUACUUAUUUGUUUCAGCUUGCAGAUUCUAACAACCUGCAAGCUGCAAUCCAUAAAAAUAGGACCUGAAUCCUUUUACCAGUUGGUCACCAAGAUUAAAUAACUUGAAGUUUGGAAAGAAAUCUUGAAAUCCCCAAGAUGCAAAAUUUUCAUAUGGCUAGCGAUCUUAAAUUGCUGCUGGACAGCCAAUGGGUUGGCAUGCCAUGAACUCAACCACCCAGAAUACUGCCCACUUUGUGACCAAGCUGAUGAGACAAUACAACAUUUCUUGACCUCCUGAAUAUUUUCUAGAGAGGCUUGAUUCUCAGUGCGCUCAUUAGUUGGUCUACAGCAGCUAGCUCUGAGCCAAGAGGAUAUUUCAAGGUUGGUGGCGCAGUGCUCGACAUGCAGUCCCUAGACAGCAACAAAAGGGCUUGAAUUCCUUAUUUGUUUAGGUGGUUGUGGAAAUACUGGAAUGAAUGUGUGUUUCAAGGUGCUCCUCCAAAUAUCCAUUCCAUUUACAGGGCAUACAUGAUGAAGCCAUAUUUUGGUGUAAGACUGGCAAUAAGGGGCUUAGUCUUAUGGCCUUGACGCCUUUGCCAUAGUGGCAGUGGUCGUCGUUUACUCUCAGCUGUUGGCGAGAUUAGUGUGCCAGUUAACUUUGUGGUAACGGCAGUUGUGUUGGUAUGAGAGAUUUUGCUACCUUAUGGUGCAAUUCUGUUUUCUUUUUUAUCUUGUUUUCAAAGCACACGCAUGAGAACUGAAAGGACCGGGAUGCACCACACGUAGAAAAUUCUGCUGAGGAAAUCAGCCAGCUGCACCAAUAGUGCUACGUGAUAAGGCAAACAUAAAUAAGCAUGUCGUUUCCCUAAAACAAAGAUAUUAAAAAUAAUGGAAAGGUAUAAAUUCACACAUAGUAAUUUCAUAAACUUCAAAUAUAUAAAAAAAUUGCAUAAGGUACAAGUCAUAAAUAAAUAGGGUGACUGUAAAAGUACAAGCCAAUGCAGUUACCCACUAGUCCAUUGUGCAAAAAAUGAGACUGGGUCAUUGCCCUAUUAUUCUUCAAAAAACAUGAGGAACCAAAUGCACUGUAGAAUAAAGAAAACAAACAAAAAUCCACAAAAACCUAUACCUUAGUCCAACACCUGCCACAACAUGAGGCGAUAGAAGAUCAAGAGGGAGCACCAAUACAAGAAGGGGUCAAGAAGAAAAUCCAGCAAGCUUGCUGCUGGAUGAAAUUUGGAUUUUGCAUUGUUUGCAAUUUAAAAUAUUGCCUUUCGUCAGCCUAGGCAGUAUCCAACAGUUUUAAAACACUGGAAUUUAAAAAUUGACCUUCCAUCCUAACUAGUGCCUCCCUUCCACUUCCUCUGUCCACCGAAAUAAGGCUCCUUUUGUUUAUUGCCUCCUACCUCCUUCAUUCAAUGGAUCGAGGCAACUUGCAGUGUUAGGGUAAUUAGUGAGAAAUUGUUUGUUGUUUUCACUACUCCAUUGGGUUUUGUUGUAUGUGAGUUCCUUUUUGCACGUCUCUAAAUCUCGUAUUACCCCCUGAUAUGAGAGCACGAAGAACCGGCUAGUAGCUCUCCCUCUAGUGGCUCUCAAUGCUUUUAGGGUUCUUCUUACCUGAUUACAACUUGAUUACAAUUGAUGAUGUGGCUAGGUAUUUAUAGCCGCCAAGCCUAAACACAUAAUCCUAACAAACUAACAACUUGAUCAUUGAAAAGCCUAACAUGCCAAUUAUCUAAUCCGUGGUAUUGUUCACAUCCUACAUUACGCCAUACCCUUUUGCACAGUUGCACCUCUGGUGGGCCCACAACCGGCCCCACUACCAUAUCGGCCUCCGGUAAGCAGCAGAGAUGAAGCGGUAUGGGGGCAAUUCAACUCCUUGGUGCACAUGUUCCUCCCCGAAUAAUAUACAAAUGUUAUGAUGCCUAGAUGAGACUAGAUAUUGAAUCGCAAUUGCUAUAAGGUGUCUAGUGGCACUCACAGUCUCUGAUACUCCUGAAGCUGGUCAUCAGAAAUUUGCAGUUUCCCACUUUUAUCUCGGCCUUUCUCAUUUAAUUCCUCAACAGCUCUUGUGACAUCAACCAGAUCACUUUGCAGCUUUUGUAUCUUUUCCACAUGCGUUUUGUUAUCAUCCUUUUUCUCAUCAAUAUGUUUGUAGCAGAUUUCAAUUUUUGAUUUGAGCCAAGAUAUGUUCUCUUUCAAUUGAAGAAGUUCAGGUUCCUGAAGAAAAGAGAUACAACUACAAUUCAUAUUCAUCAUAAUGUUACCUGGCAUGAAGUUAAAAGUCAUUAGUACAAUACAAUAUAAAUUCAAGAGGACAAACCAUGUUUCAGCUAUUCAUUCCUGGUACAGAUUCUAAACUGCAAGAAACCAGCAUCACUUAAAAACACAAAGCAAGAAUAAUACACUAGAAGUAUACCAAAUUCACCAAUGUCAUAAUGAAUGUGAUUUUAUAAGAGCACCAAUUCAUUGAUAAAAAUGGCAGAAAUAGACACAUGGAAAGAGCAAAGUUUUUAAUCACUAAAACAUGUAAGACAAAUAAAAGUUAUCCAUAUAUUACUUAAGUUUUAAAAAUCAUAUGAACAUGUAGACUGUAGAGCACUGGAGGGAGAUAUGAUGUUCUAAUAACAAUACGAAGGGAGAAAGGUGUGUAUGUUGUGCAUGCAUGAAGUUUGAGCAGAAGACGUAACUGAUAUGCAUGUGUGGUUUGGAGACCUAAAAGACCCCUGAUGCAGCAUGGAAAAUAUUACUAUAAGUUAUAUUCGAGCAAUAAUCAGUUGUGUUGAAAACUUAAUAGGCCAUUCCAGUGAAUUAAAAAAUUGGAGUGCUUUGUUGGUGAGCUACAGAUAACACAUAAGGAAUUUUCUGAUAGAAAAAAGGUGAAAUGGAAAUUGCUUAUUACUUCUCAUCAAGUUGAUGCUUUUUAUUGGCAAUACUCCUCUCGCAUAAGCUCACUUCCUUGAGAAAUGAACUUUGCUCUUUCUUUUUUGCAGUUAGUUCAUGUUCCAAGGAUUGAUUCUCUUCUUGCACUUGCUGAAGGGACUGCCUGUUCUCCACAAGUUCAGCUUCCAAUUACUCUAUGUCCAUUUCAAUGGUGUAAAGUUGCCACAGGUAAUGCUGGGUCUUCAACAAUUUCUGGGGAAAAGGCCAAGGAGUACAGAGCAUUAAUUUUAAUGUGUUAAUUAUGAAAUGCAGGCAACGGAAGAUUUGUGAGAACAAUGAUGUACCAGGUCCUGCUAGAGGCGUAUGUAAUUCUCUACCUCAACUUUUUGUCCCUUCUUCUGCUUCCUGUCCAUGACAAUGGUCCUCUUUUCGUGAUAGAUGAGUGCCGACUUCUCCUCGGCCCUGGCUUUCUGCUCCUCGAGCUCAUCAUAUUCCCUCUUGAGUUCAUCGGAGCCAGAGAUCUGCUCCAGGAGGGCCGUGAGCUCCUUUAAGGUUCUUGGAGGCAAUGGACUCAACAUCACCCUGCGGUGCAAAUCAUCAUCAGACCCUAUCAUCAGUUAAUUAUUGAACACUACGAACAGUAUGAAGAGGAUAACUAAAUUAUCAGGAAAACAUAGACUUGGCUGACGAGGAAAAUGAUACGAGACCUGGAAGACGAGGAAGUUGCGGGCCUUGACGAUAAUGCCUAGGGAUCUCAGCUUGGCAUUGUAGUCUUCCCAGGUAACGAGGCGGCCGUCAAUGCGAUACUCACUGCCACCGGCGCCGGUGAUGGUGCGGGUGAAGUGGAGCUCCUCCUGGUCGGGUUGUCUGUAGACGAGGCGGACGGAAGCCCUGCGGCGUUCGGCAGCCUCCUUGUCGCCGUCGUCGAGGGCGUAGAUGAGGUCCUUGAGCCGCGCGCCGCGGAGGUGGGCGGACCGCACGCCCAACACGAAGCUGAUGGCGUCGAGCAGGUUCGACUUGGCGGCGCCUUUGGGCCCGAUGAUGGCCGUGAACUCGGAGAAGGGCCCGUCUGUGUCCCCUUGUAGGACUUGAAGUUCUCCACCUCCAGCCGAUGGAUUCGGCCGACGCUGCCGCCGCCCCGGCCCCGGUUGCGGUUGGCGCUGAUGUGCCCAUCCGCCGCCGCCAUCUACUCCCCUCCACCUUCAAGACGAGGCUAGGGUUUUGGUUCCUAUACCGCCAUAUCUGGGGCGGGAUUGUCAAAAGCAUAAGUGAAUCCUUAUCCUACCAAAUACGAUGAAGUUCCUAAAUACGAUGAAGUUCCCAAAUAGUAAGAUUUUUCUAACGUGUUCAGUAUAAGAUUUUUCUAACGCACAUGUGCUAAGAUUCAAGUAAGUUGAAUCAACCCUUAUUGGUAGUCCUUGAAACUUAGUUUUUAUUUACUCUAAGCUCCCAAGAUCUUUACAAGCUCAUAUCUUUUAUGUUUUAACUUGUUUUUUAGUGAUUUUUGCGUUCAUGAGAUCGUAUUAUCAAUACUAAAGUUAUUACUCUUUUAGUUAUCUCAAAAAUUGCAUUAAAGGGUAUAUAUAAUGUGUAACAUAUCGCGCUUUUAUUAUAAAACCAUAUUUAUCAUUAUAGGAUAUAGUGGAUAGUAUAUACAUAUGGCCUUGGCCCAUAAGUAAAGCAUAGGCAUACUUGCUAGUAUAUUACUAUCGUAGGUUAGUUUACUAUUCUAGCAAAUUUUGUCAAAAUUAUAGAAGUUUGAUUCAAAAUAAAAAAUUAAAGCCAUCAACAUUUUGAAAUGGGUGGAAAUAAAUUCUACAAAGGUCAAAGUUAAAGUUUAAUAGUUCAAUUGUCACUAAUAAACUUGGUUUUCAUGGCAUGCUUAAACCUAGCUUUUUGGUACUCUUGUCUCAUAAAGUCAUAUCCAUAAUAACAACAUCAAAUCCAUUUUGCCAAAAAAAAUUAUGGCUUCGUAAAUCAAUGUAAAUGUAAAACAUACUCCCUCUGGUCAUAAAAAAAUAUCAACAAUUAAGACUUUGAUUACAAAUUAUUUUUAUGAGAUUGUAUUGGAUAAUUAAAAUACUAGUACGAGUAGAUUCCUUUCAAACAUAUAGUUUCAAAAAAGGUGUUUGGUAUGCUCGAUAAAUACGUUUUGUCCUAGAAUUCUAACAAAAGUGUGGCGUGGCUUUCAGAUGUGCAGAACCACCGUACCAUAUGCUCCCCACGGGCCAUGGUAUCGACGAAGACAGCGAAUGGAUCCUGGCACGGCAAAGCAUAGGGUUGGGGUCCGGGUCUCCACUCUCCAUGCAUUGACCGAUGGAGGUUGAUCUCAACUAAGGGUCCGUUGGGAUCCCUCGCCUCGCCUCGCCUCGCCUCGCUGGGAAGAGCAAGGCAAGCUUCCAGGGACGUUUGCUUCCCUUGCUACUGCUAGCGUUUGCUUUGCAGCGCGGCUCGAUGCGGCGGCCAGCAGAGCUCGAUGGGGCCACGGUGAAGCUCUAUAAGGCGGCCAGCAGGGCAUGAUUCGGCGGCCAGCAGGGCAUGAUUCGGCGGCCAGCGGGCUUGACGCGGCAGCGGGGAACUCGAUUCGGCCGCGACAGAGCUUGAUGCGCGGGCUCGAUGCAGCAGCGAUUCGGCCACGGCGGAGUCCGAUGCGGCAGCCGGCGCGCUCGACACGACAGCGGGGACCUCGAUUCGGCGGCCGGUGGGGCUCGACGAGGCAGCAGGGAGCUCAAUUCGGACAUAGCGGAGCUCGAUUCGGCGGCAACGAGGUUCAAUUUGUCCACUGCAAAGCUCGAUUCGUGACGUUGUAGCUCGAUUCAGCUGUGAUGUACGUUGAUUUGCCGACAACAAAGCUCAAAUUGACGUGGCUCGGCGACUCACCCGAGCACACAACUGAGCAAGCGAAACUUGCCUGUGAAGGAGAGCCAGGGCACGUUUGGUUCUCUCGCUGGUUACUGUGUGGUCUUGCCUAGCAAGGUAGCACAGUUCUUAUUGGUGUCUGGUUCCCUCGCCUAGCUGCCUCGGUGCCCAUGCUGACAAGAUUUGGCUUGCUGCCGUGGGAGAGCCAGAUCGGCUUGCCCGGACAGUCAAGCUUCUUGUUGCCGCGCCGGUAAGGCAAGGCGAGAGGACAAGAGAACCAAAUGUGCCCCCAAUUGCCUGCAUGGGCAAGGAAAUCCUUGCCUAGCCAGGCAAGCUUGCCGAGCAAAGCGAGCUUUUCACUCGCUACCAAACGCUUGGCCUUGCUCGGCAAGGCAAGACAAGCAGUCGGCAAGAAUACCAAACGCGCCCUAAGAUAUUUCCAUACCCUACUGGUGGGAAGCACAACGGCUGGGGGGGACAUGGCUGCUAGCGGCGAGGCAUUAUGGAGGACAUUCAAUUUCUUAUUUCCUUUUCUGUUUUUCUCUCUUUUUAGAAAAUUUUUCUAUUAGAUAAUGUUUUGAAAAAAGUUUGUAGUCCUAGAUGUCUUAUAAAAAAUUAUGGAAAACAGAAAUGGUCUUCUAUGGACAUCACUUCUGCCAAAUGAAACCAGCUACACGUGGACGAACUUGGUUUUUCUCACAAGUCACAAGUGAGAUAAUUGGUCUUGAUUGUGUCGUUAUGCAAGUAGUCUUUUAUCACCCCAUAUUGAGUGUGUCAUCGAAUGAAAUUCCAUCUACUAUGCCGUAAGCCAUGGUGAAUUGGGGAUCGUGAUCCAUGUGAGCUUGAUAUAUAUGUGCAUAUAUAGUUUUAGGAGCUUGCAGAUUUCUUCAACCAUGAUUUUGUUGUGGUUUAUGAGCUAUUGGGAUUUUCCAUGGUAAUAACAUAUACAAAGACUACUGGGGAACUCUUAAAAAAAUCAUUAUAAGAGAAAUUUUAGAGUGGUAGAAAAAAAUGAGAGCUGUCCAUCCGGCAAAAUCGAACGGUGGAAACAAAGGAAGUACCAUGAAGUACCAAAAGAGAAGUACCAGUUUGUGGGACAAGUACAAAAUAGUGAGAAAUUACUAUGAUGCCCUUUUAUUUAUAUGUAAAUCUAUUUAAUUCUUUUUUGGUAAGAAGGAUAAGAAAGGAAAGUACCACUGGUACUUUAAAGCAAAGCUCUGUUAAUUAAUUAAUUUGUGAUGUGAGUAAUAGAGAUCGAUGUCGCCAUUUGUGUUGUGCGGUGCCCCCACAGCAUCGAUGAUGACCUUAGAAUCCUAUGUGGUGUAGUUUUACCUUCUUGCCCUUACCACCGACCUUAACAUGUUGACUUCUAGAACUAUUAGGUCAAGCAUCGUGCUCUUCUUGGUAAACAGGCAACCAAAGAGGCCAAGCACAGUGCUCUUAUAUUUUACACAUAAUUUGUUCAAUCUUUGCAUAGGCUCCAAUGUUUUUGCUUUUUGUAUGGUGGACUGUGAAUAAAAUGGAAACUUUUAACUUUUUAGCCUACAUUGUACAACAUAUAAAGUUGCCUAGUUUGAUGUGUUGUACGAGAAAAACUUGCCUAGUUAUAAUUAAGCUCCUUUCAAGGGCCAUUGGAAUUUGCACGUUGAACAUCCCCAAUUAGAUUAUAGAUAGUACCAAAUGGUCCCCAAAACGGCACUCAGGCACAUAAUCUUGGACAGCAUGAUACACACACCGACAGUCGAAUCCUGGUUUGUCUUAUACCCCUGCACAAUGCAUGUUUGAAAGAAUAUGGAGGAGAAGCAUCAAACCACUAAUUCGCAUAACAUCAUACCCACUGUGAUGGCGGAGCUGAAAGAGAUCAAGAAUAAAGCGGUGUCCACUGGCCAAAGGUACAUGUCAACCUUUAAGGAUUCCUUUUAGGCCCCGUUUGGGUCCAAGGAAUUGGAAUCUAUUUAAUGGAGUAGGCUAAUUUAUGUUGGAAUGUGGCAUUCCACAACUUUCCAAAGUUUAGAUAUAAGCCUAUCUUAAAUUCAUGGGGUGGGAGAUGGAAAUUGAUUCUAUAGAUUAUGGUUAUUAGAUGGAAUUCAAUUCUUAUAGCACGCUCUUAGACUCGCUUCUCUAUAGUAGAAGUGCAGCAUACAAGUAUCUCUCCCAUAUCACCAACUAUAAUAUACAACUAUAUUCCACAUACAAUUAUAUUAGCUUAAUUAAUUUGUGUCUAAAUUAUGAUUAUUAGGAUGGAAUUCAAUUCCAAUGAACCAAACGGGCCCUUAGUGUUGCCUCCCCACCACCUUAGCACAAGACUGUUUGCCGUUUCUCACUAUCGGUCCCAUUUAGAUUUUUCUCAGUCCUAUGUUCUUUCUCAAAUGAGUGUUACUUCUGAGCCCAUGAUUUAUUAUGUACCAUGAAAUUGUAGUCAUCUGUUUACCAAAUGCCUCAGCAGCUAGCUGCGAUCCCUUUGCUGUUUGCACUACACUGUGACUCGCGACCCGGUUCAUUUCAGGUUCGUUUCAGCUGCGUAUGGUGGUAUGGUGUAGGCUGUCACCCUGUAGUGUGGAGUGACUUCCCUUCUUGUUCUAGUAAAGUAGGUACUUCUUCAGGUCAGUGCUCCACUACCAACAUGCAUGAUGCAUCGUCAAUUGGGCACCACACGAAUUCUACGAGAAAUUUAGCCACCACAAACCAUAUAAUGGAGUAGGGUUGAUGGACUAUGUUGUUGGAGUUGGAGACCUAUGAACUAGGACAAAGGGAACAAACGAAUCUUAUAGAGGUUAUAAAGCUAAGCAACAAUAAUGUGGAGCAUCUGGUCUGAUAGAACACUCUCAGCAUCUAGACUCUUCACUAUUGUACGACGGUUUCGCAAUACAAGUAUACAACCAUACCAGCGGCUUGCCGGCUUUCCCACAACCAGAGACGCCUAUAAAAGGCCAUGCACUCCACCGCUUCAAGCACCACUCAACACACAAAAAGAAAAAAAAAUCACGCAUAAGCAUGGAAGCACAAGAAUAAUCGCCACACGUGUGAGCACAGGUUUAAAAAAAAAACAUCGCGCGUGCAAAUCCCCUACUAGCAGUAGCAGCAGUAGCAAUCCCAUCCAGGCAUGGCACCCUCCGGUUUCAUCUUGCUCCUUGUGGCCAUCCUUGCCUCCUCGGGCACUACAGGGAAUGCUUCGUUUGACCUCCGCGCCGUGCUCAACCACCCCUACGCCGGCCGGCCGGUUUCCAAGUACGAGAUGAUCCGCGAGGCCGUGAGCGCGAGCAAGGCCCGGCGUGCCUGGAACGCCGCUAGGGUGGCCAAGGCGUGCGGGCGCGGCGGCGGGGGCGGUGGCGGCACCAUCUCCUCGCCGGACAUGCCGGUCAGGCCUCUCGGCAAGUCAAUCUACACCCUGACCGCCAGCGUCGGCACCCCGCCGCAGCGGCACACGCUCGUCAUCGACACCGGAAGCGACCUCGUCUGGGUCCAGUGCAAGCUGUUCGGUGGCGGCGCGACGCCGACCGACCCUCUCUACGACCCCGACAGGUCUUCCUCCUUCGCCGCCGUCCCUUGUGACGGCAAGCUGUGCCGGGAGGGCGAGUUCGAGUCCAAGAACUGCUCCAGGAACAGGUGCCUCUACACCUACGGGUACGGCAGCGGCAGGGCCGUCGGCGAGCUCGCCUCCGAGACCUUCACGUUCGGCGUGCGUCGCAAGGUCCCCGUCACCCUCGACUUCGGGUGCGGAACGUUCCUGGAGGGUGACAUCUUCAACGCCUCCGGCUUCCUAGGGCUCAGCCCGGACAAGUUGUCCUUCGUGUCGCAGCUAAAGAUACCAAGGUUCUCCUACUGCCUCACUCCUUACACGGACCGUAAGAGUGGCCACAUGUUCUUCGGGGCAAUGGCCGACCUGUCCAAGUACAGGACCACGGCCCCAAUCCAAACCAUUUCCUUUCUGAACAACCGGAUCGGCAGCAACGUGUAUUACUUUUUGCCCUUGAUCGGGGUCUCGGUUGGGACCAAGAAGCUCAACGUCCCGGCGUCGAGCUUCGACAGAACG
rnacentral:lncRNA from 1 species